ACGGGUUUAGCUCAGCUGGUAGAGCACUGGUCUCCAAAACCAGGUGUCGGGGGUUCGAGUCCCUCAAUCCGUG
rnacentral:tRNA from 2 species